rnacentral:misc_RNA from 1 species
AACCUAGCACACCUGCGGUGUGUACCUGCGGAGGGAUCAUUACCGAGUUUACAAACUCCCAACCCUAUGUGAACCUUACCAAUCGUUGCUUCGGCGGGCUUAGCCCCCGCGCCCUCGCCGGCGCCGGGAGAAAGGCGCCCGCCGGGGACCCCAAACCCAAUGUUUUUCAUGCAGUAUUUCUGAGUGGCAAACGCAAAAAUAAAUCAAAACUUUUAGCAAUGGAUCUCAGAUCGGAAGAGC